rnacentral:rRNA from 1 species
UACGUAGGGCGCAAGCGUUGUCCGGAAUUAUUGGGCGUAAAGGGCUCGUAGGCGGUCUGUUGCGUCGGGAGUGAAAACUCAGGGCUUAACCCUGAGCCUGCUUCCGAUACGGGCAGACUAGAGGUAUGCAGGGGGAGAACGGAAUUCCUGGUGUAGCGGUGAAAUGCGCAGAUAUCAGGAGGAACACCGGUGGCGAAGGCGGGUCUCUGGGCAGUAACUGACGCUGAGGAGCGAAAGCGUGGGGAGCGAACAGG